GACGAAGGGGGCUAGCGUUGUUCGGAAUUACUGGGCGUAAAGGGCGCGUAGGCGGUUUGUUAAGUCAGGCGUGAAAGCCCUGGGCUCAACCUGGGAUGUGCGCUUGAUACUGGCAGGCUUGAGUGCAGGAGAGGAUGGUGGAAUUCCCAGUGUAGAGGUGAAAUUCGUAGAUAUUGGGAAGAACACCGGUGGCGAAGGCGGCCAUCUGGACUGCAACUGACGCUGAGGCGCGAAAGCGUGGGGAGCAAAC
rnacentral:rRNA from 1 species